UACAGAGGGUGCAAGCGUUAAUCGGAAUUACUGGGCGUAAAGCGCGCGUAGGGGUUUGUUAAGUUGAAUGUGAAAUCCCCGGGCUCAACCGUGGAACUGCAUCCAAAACUGGCAAGCUAGAGUAGGGCAGAGGGUGGUGGAAUUUCCUGUGUAGCGGUGAAAUGCGUAGAUAUAGGAAGGAACACCAGUGGCGAAGGCGACCACCUGGGCUCAUACUGACACUGAGGUGCGAAAGCGUGGGGAGCAAACAGG
rnacentral:rRNA from 1 species